rnacentral:rRNA from 1 species
AACGAACGCUGGCGGCAUGCCUAACACAUGCAAGUCGAACGAGACCUUCGGGUCUAGUGGCGCACGGGUGCGUAACGCGUGGGAACCUGCCCUUAGGUUCGGAAUAACUCCCCGAAAGGGGUGCUAAUACCGGAUAAUGUCUUCGGACCAAAGAUUUAUCGCCUUUGGAUGGGCCCGCGUUGGUUUAGCUAGUGGGUAGGGUAAAAGCCUACCAAGGCGACGAUCCAUAGCUGGUCUGAGAGGAUGAUCAGCCACACUGGGACUGAGACACGGCCCAGACUCCUACGGGAGGCAGCAGUGGGGAAUAUUGGACAAUGGGCGAAAGCCUGAUCCAGCAAUGCCGCGUGAGUGAUGAAGGCCGUAGGGUUGUAAAGCUCUUUUACCCGGGAUGAUAAUGACAGUACCGGGAGAAUAAGCACCGGCUAACUCCGUG